GGUGUAUAAAGCCAUCCUCACACCCACACCGAAGUACUGUAGCUGGUUGUUGCCUUAGCGUCUCACUUUAUUUCACAUUGAAUUAACUAAUUGUAGGCUACUUUAAAAACAUGAAAGCCAUCAGUCCUAUGAGAUCUGUCAGAAGCUGCUACGAAGCUGUCCGCUGCAUUUCGGAUCAGAGUCUCUCCAUCACCCGGAAUAAGCCAUCUAUGGAGGAAUCCGUGGGCGCGCUGUGCGAUAUGAAUGACUGCUACUCCAAACUGAAGGAGCUGGUACCGAGCAUCCCACAGAACAAGUCCGUCAGUCAAGUGGAAAUUCUGCAACACGUUAUCGACUACAUAUUCGACCUACAAAUCGCGUUGGAAGACGAGUCUUCAGCGACAACCACGCCUGAUUUGGUCCUGUCACUAAAGAAUGCAGACCUUGCACGCAAUUUCUCCCAAGAAGAUGGACGGUUGUGCCGUUAAAGAGGAGGAAUAGGCCUAUAACGUCCAUAAAUGGUGCAGAGAAACACAGCUCCACUUCCCUCUGGGCAAGAGGACAAGAGGGCCAGAAAGAAGGUCUGGGACAGGUAUUUAGAGUGGGAGAGAAGAGGACUCUUUAGUUCUCAGAUCUGGGCAAGAGGACAAGAGGGCCAGAAAGAAGGUCUGGAAUAGGUAUUUAGAGUGGGAGAGAAGAGGACUCUUUAGUUCUCAGAUCUGGGUAAGAGGGCUAGAAAGAAGGUCUGGGACGGGUAUUUAGAGUGGGAGAGAAGAGGACUCUUUAGUUCUCAGAUGGAUGGAUCAUCCUCUUGUUUUCUGUCCUCUUGUCACCAGAAGUGACAUAAACAACACACCAAAGCAGAAAAAGAUUUGAAUUGACUCUGUUUCUCUCUCUGUUUCUGUCUCUGUCCCUCUCCCUGUCUCUCUCUCUGUCUCUGUCCCUCUCCCUGUCUCUCUCUCUCUACUUGUUCCUCUCAGUUGUGGUUUUGUAUCCCUCGAAAUGUAUCGAUACAUCAAGCUUUGUUGAUUUAUCUUUUUGUGUUACAUUCCAAACCAAACCUUUUGGAUUGACCUUCCAAUAUUUUGUUAUAACCCAACCCCCCCUCCCAAUCCUUCCUCCCUUCCCUCCUCUCCUAGGCCCCCCCCUCCACACACACACACACACACACACAAUCCUUCCUCCCUUCCCUCCUCUCCUAGCCAGUCCUAAAACUCUAUCACUUAAUUCUCUCUUCAUAUCCUCUGUUAUUUUAUAAUUUGAAGGUUUUCAGAACUUGGUCAAAUUGUGUAAAGAUCUAAUUUGGUCACUGUGAACUCUGAAGGAGAUGGGUUAAAUGAGUUUGGUCUUGUGCGGGGGUCCUUGGAUAUAAUCACAACUCUGUAAUAGAGUUGAUUGUAAAUGUUUGUAGGGAUUGUUUAUUUCUACGGACAAUGUCAAAUAAUUGCUGAGUUUUAUAAACUUUUUUCUUUUUUAAAAUCAAAGUCUGGGUUGUAUGUACGUUCCUAUGUAAUAAAAUGAUGAAAUGUUGUGAACGUU